CAUCAUGCACAUUCACCAGGGGUCACUGUAAGAGAGGAAAAAUGAAUUCAAUGAAGAGGAAAUGACAGGUGCCACUGACAAGAAGAUUUUAAACUCAGCUGCAGUAGUUUAAAGAGAAGAUUUCUUGGGAAGCAUGUGGUGCAUUACAGCUUUGGUUUGGUUUGCAGUAGGUAUCUCAGGCAAUGGUCAGUCUCCAGUUCUCCACCAGAGCCCACGGUCGGUGGUGCAGGACCCCGGCAAUAACACUUCCCUGGAUUGUUCUCUGGAAGGAUAUCCCAACCCCAACCUCUACUGGUACAGGCAAGUCCCAGGGGGAGCGAUCGAACACCUUUCCUAUUCAAUAAGCAAGGGAUCAGCAACAGAUUCUGGACUGACCCACAUCAAAGGGACACGGCCCAGUGAUGUCAGAUUCAUCCUGGAGAUUGACAACCUCAGUACCAGCGACACUGGGACCUAUUACUGUGCCUGGAGUCACACACUGAACCAAGAGAGUGCAGCACUCUAACAAAAACCUUCCCUCGCUUUCUCCUUUCAAGUGAAGGAACCCCACUUGCCUGCUGAGUGGCACCAAGCAGACCACAAUGUGCCUCCUUUGUGGCCUCGGUUGCCCUACUUUCCAGUAAACACACAGGGAACAGAAGCCACAUGGGAGACUUCCUGGAUGUAGCAGGCAGUACAGCUGAACCUCGGUGUGCCCUUUUGGCAAGAGCCACAGUUUGCAGCACCUCUACAAUCAAAACGCAAUAAAACUGUGCAAAACUUUGA